rnacentral:miRNA from 1 species
AAAGUCUUUUCCGUCUGUCUAUUUCUAUGCAAUCAAAGUAUCUAAAGCGUUCUGGUUCUGGUAUGAACCUAUGUAUGUAUGUACAUACAUAUAGAUACUUUGAUUGCAUAGAAAUAGACAGACGGAAAAGACUUU